rnacentral:rRNA from 1 species
UACGUAGGGUGCAAGCGUUAAUCGGAAUUACUGGGCGUAAAGCGUGCGCAGGCGGCUUUGCAAGACAGAUGUGAAAUCCCCGGGCUUAACCUGGGAACUGCAUUUGUGACUGCAUGGCUAGAGUGCGGCAGAGGGGGAUGGAAUUCCGCGUGUAGCAGUGAAAUGCGUAGAUAUGCGGAGGAACACCGAUGGCGAAGGCAAUCCCCUGGGCCUGCACUGACGCUCAUGCACGAAAGCGUGGGGAGCAAACAGGA